rnacentral:rRNA from 1 species
UGCGCAGGCGGUUAUGUAAGACAGGUGUGAAAUCCCCGGGCUUAACCUGGGAACUGCAUUUGUGACUGCAUAGCUAGAGUACGGUAGAGGGGGAUGGAAUUCCGCGUGUAGCAGUGAAAUGCGUAGAUAUGCGGAGGAACACCGAUGGCGAAGGCAAUCCCCUGGACCUGUACUGACGCUCAUGCACGAAAGCGUGGGGAGCAAACA